GAUGAAGAACGCAGCGAAAUGCGAUAAGUAAUGCGAAUUGCAGAAUUCCAGUGAGUCAUCGAAUCUUUGAACGCACAUUGCGCCCUUUGGUAUUCCGAAGGGCAUGCCUGUUCGAGCGUCAUUAUCACCCCUCAAGCCCCCGGCUUGGUGUUGGACGGCUUGGUAGAGACCCUUUUGUGGCCCACCCCUCCCAAAGACAAUGACGGCGGCCUCGUUGGACCCCCGGUACACUGAGUUCUUCACGGGACACGUAUCGGACACACGGGUUUACGGGUCACGGUCUGCCUCCCCUCAGGGAGAACUUUUCUAAGGUUGACCUCGGAUCAGGUAGGAAUACCCGCUGAACUUAAGCAUAUCAAAAGCGGAGGA
rnacentral:misc_RNA from 1 species